rnacentral:lncRNA from 1 species
CAGGGCCUGAACCAAUCAGUUUGAAUGUGUACUCUCCUUAGGAAUGACCUAUCACUCCAGCCUGACCUGUUCCCGCCAAUGAAUGAACUAAUCAUGUUUAGGAGUUGUUGUUCAAUUUUCCAGCGCCUCAUGAUGAUUUGUUCUGAUGUAUACAAAGCCCUCUGCCCUCCCCAAAAAGUGUACUUAAGCAGUGCUCAGCCCCUGCUUGGGGCUCUGGGCUGCUUUCCCUUCUUGAGUGGGCACGGAGCCCCAGCAUGCUGGUUCAAUAAAUCCCCUUCUGCCAAUUGCAUGAGUGGUCAC